CUGAGGGAUCUCCUCCCAGACCUGGACUAAAGCAUCUGCCAACUCCUGGAAGCCUGUGGUGCAACGCGAUGUUGGUGGAUGGAGCGAGAUGUGAUGUCCCAGACGUGCUCAAUUGGAUUCAGGUCUGGGGAACUUGCGGGCCAGUCCAUAGCAUCAAUGCCUUCGUCUUGCAGGAACUGCUGACACUUUUCAGCCACAUUGUCUUGCAUUAGGAGGAACCCAGGGCCAACCGCAC